rnacentral:tRNA from 1 species
UCAGGACGUGGCUGAAAUAGUUAAGCAUCUCACUUACACCGAGAAGACACCCAUGCAAAUUGGGUCGCCCUGAGC